UUGAAAAGAACUCUUUCGACUAAGACGUACUUCUGACUUCUGUAUUAGAAUCGAUCAACUAUACUAGCGGAUGGAGAUAAAGCGUAAAGAAAUAUGAUUUGCAGUAAUAAUGAGGCCGUUGUUACCCUCAGGCAACAAUCACAAAACCAGAUGUGUACAACUUUUGAAAAAGCUCGGCUCCUAUAUAGGGUUAAGGAAUCGUAAAAUGAAAAGGGCAUCGAUCAACAACGAUUGAGUGCAUUGGGACAAUCUGUGGCCUUUUUCGAGUCCAUCUCUUCUUCUGAAGUUGCAGAACUUCUUAAAAUACAGGCUGACAAAGAACUUGUUGCAAAGAAGGGAAAAGAUGUGAAAAAAAAUUGAAAAAAAUUUAGUUCAUUGUUGUCGUCUAUUAUAAGAAAAACCUUCACCAACGACAGUGUUGUCCAUCUUCUCUCCAAAAGCACAUUCAUAAAUAGCACCAUGAACUUGGCCUUCUUGUCCUGGGUAUUGAUACUUUUUUACUUCUUUGGAGUCCGUGUUUAAUAUAACAAUACAACCUUUUUCGCAAUGUGUGCCAUUUUUUGUUACCCAUUCUUCAAGCCCACGGCAUCCAUACAAAACCAAUCCACCAUAGUUUGCACUUUUAGAGCCUGGUUUUCUUGGCUUGUAAAAGUCAGAUUU